AUUUAAGUAGCUCAGUCAGGUAGAGCAGCGAAAUAGAGUUUCGUGCGUCGAAGGUUCAAAUCCUUCCUUAAAUU
rnacentral:tRNA from 2 species